rnacentral:rRNA from 1 species
GAGUUUGAUUAUGGCUCAGGAUGAACGCUAGCGGCAGGCUUAACACAUGCAAGUCGAGGGGCAGCGGGGAGGAAGCUUGCUUUCUCCGCCGGCGACCGGCGCACGGGUGAGUAACACGUAUGCAACCUGCCCCUGUCAGGGGGACAACCCGCCGAAGGGCGGGCUAAACCCGCGUACAUGCCACCGGGGCAUCCCGGAGGCAGGAAAGGCUUCGGCCGGACAGGGAUGGGCAUGCGGCGCAUUAGGCAGUAGGCGGGGUAACGGCCCACCUAACCGACGAUGCGUAGGGGUUCUGAGAGGAAGGUCCCCCACACUGGUACUGAGACACGGACCAGACUCCUACGGGAGGCAGCAGUGAGGAAUAUUGGUCAAUGGUCGGGAGACUGAACCAGCCAAGCCGCGUGAGGGAUGAAGGUACAGAGUAUCGUAAACCUCUUUUGUCAGGGAACAAAGGCGGGGACGUGUCCCCGGAUGAGUGUACCUGAAGAAAAAGCAUCGGCUAACUCCGUGCCAGCAGCCGCGGUAAUACGGAGGAUGCGAGCGUUAUCCGGAUUUAUUGGGUUUAAAGGGUGCGCAGGCGGUCUGUUAAGUCAGCGGUCAAAGCCCGGGGCUCAUCCCCGGCCCGCCGUUGAAACUGGCAGUCUCGAGUUGGAGAGAAGUAUGCGGAAUGCGCGGUGUAGCGGUGAAAUGCAUAGAUAUCGCGCAGAACUCCGAUUGCGAAGGCAGCAUGCCGGCUCCACACUGACGCUGAGGCACGAAAGCGUGGGUAUCGAACAGGAUUAGAUACCCUGGUAGUCCACGCAGUAAACGAUGAAUGCUGGCUGUCCGGGGGGACUGACCCCUGGGUGGCGAAGCGAAAGCGAUAAGCAUUCCACCUGGGGAGUACGCCGGCAACGGUGAAACUCAAAGGAAUUGACGGGGGCCCGCACAAGCGGAGGAACAUGUGGUUUAAUUCGAUGAUACGCGAGGAACCUUACCCGGGCUCAAACGGGGAGUGACUCAGGCAGAGACGCCUGUUUCCCACGGGACACUCCCCGAGGUGCUGCAUGGUUGUCGUCAGCUCGUGCCGUGAGGUGUCGGCUUAAGUGCCAUAACGAGCGCAACCCCCGCGUGCCAGUUGCUAACAGUCAACGCUGAGGACUCUGCACGGACUGCCGGCGCAAGCCGCGAGGAAGGCGGGGAUGACGUCAAAACAGCACGGCCCUUACGUCCGGGGCGACACACGUGUUACAAUGGGUGGUACAGCGGGAAGCCAGGCGGCGACGCCGAGCGGAACCCGAAAUCCACUCUCAGUUCGGAUCGGAGUCUGCAACCCGACUCCGUGAAGCUGGAUUCGCUAGUAAUCGCGCAUCAGCCAUGGCGCGGUGAAUACGUUCCCGGGUCUUGUACACACCGCCCGUCAAGCCAUGGGAGCCGAGGGCGCUUGAAGUGCGUCGCCGCGAGGCGCGCCCUAGAGCGAAAUCGGUGACUGGGGCUAAGUCGUAACAAGGU